rnacentral:tRNA from 1 species
GGGGUUAUAGCUCAGCUGGGAGAGCGCUUGAAUGGCAUUCAAGAGGUCAGCGGUUCGAUCCCGCUUAGCUCCA